rnacentral:rRNA from 1 species
GAUUAACGCUGGCGGCAUGCCUAAGACAUGCAAGUCGAACGAAGUGAACCGAUGAAGUUGGAGUGCUUGCACAAAGAUGAAUUCGGAUCUCACUUAGUGGCGGACGGGUGAGUAACACGUGGGUAAUCUACCUUUAAGAUUGGGACAACACAGGGAAACUUGUGCUAAUACCGAAUAGGAAGUAGAAAUGAUUUUUUUGUUUUGAAAGGUGCCUUUAAAGCACUACUUAAAGAUGAGCCUGCGGCGUAUUAGUUAGUUGGUAGGGUAACGGCCCACCAAGGCGACGAUGCAUAGCCGACCUGAGAGGGGGAUCGGCCACACUGGGACUGAGACACGGCCCAGACUCCUACGGGAGGCAGCAGUAGGGAAUCUUCCACAAUGGACGAAAGUCUGAUGGAGCAGCGCCGCGUGAACGAUGAAGGCUUUCGGGUCGUAAAGUUCUGUUGUAAGGGAAGAACAAGUGCCGCAGGCAAUGGCGGCACCUUGACGGUACCUUGCGAGAAAGCCACGGCUAACUACGUGCCAGCCGCCGCGGUAA